rnacentral:misc_RNA from 1 species
UUCAUUGUCGUUUUUAUAAGUACAAAUUUUAUAAUAAUCAUCAAAUAUAGUCUAUGAAACUACAUUGCAACUUGAUUUAUGUUAUUUCUUUUAAUGCAACUUGAAGCUUGUUUUUUCAAACCCAGAAGCUUUUCUUUUUUCUCUGGCAAUGACAUGCCCUGCUUUCUAACAAAUUAGUUACACAAUAUGAAGAUGAAGAGAUAAUUCUAAAACAAGAUCAAAGUUUUCAUAUUCCAGGACACAUCUCACUUUAAUUUGUAAUUAUUCAACAUACAAGUUAACUAUAUAAUUAAACAAAGCUUGAAUUCUGAAAGCUGAGGUCCCCGGCAAAAUAUUUUGCGAUCUGAAAACCAUUUCCAGGUUAAG